GAGGGAGGGAGGGAGGGGGGGAGAGAGAGAGAGAGAGAGAGAGGAACCUGUGAAUAGAGACGAGGCAAGAAACAAAGAUGGAAGUAAAUGGGAAGGAGAUUAGCGUUGGAUAGACCGUAGAAAACACGCAGAAGAAGUGAAAUUAGUAAGGCUGGGUGGGUGGGGCUUGUUGUAUAGGGAGAAUAACAGAAUAAAUAAAAAAGGAGAAGAAUAGUUGGUAAAGAAGAGCAGAAAGCUAACAAGACACAGAAACAAAAUCAAAACAGCAAUUUGUGUGUGUGUGUGGAGAUUCUUGAUUCUGUACGGUCUAUCUUACGCUAUUCUGCCCCCCUUUUCUAACCUCCGGCUUGCUUUCCAGUCUCUCUGUCUGGUCUCUCCUCUCUCUGUGCCUGCUUCCAAAUAAUAAUUCUAAGCUCUCUAACUAUCCUUCUUUUAUACUGCCGCACGAGGCCACGAGGGGAGCUAGGGUAAUUUCAUUGCAUCUCUAUUUUCCUUUAAUUCUUUUUUCUUUGAUAU
rnacentral:lncRNA from 1 species